UAAAGCGGGUGAAAAGCCCGCUCGCCGGAAGACCAAGGGUUCCUGUCCAACGUUAAUCGGGGCAGGGUGAGUCGACCCCUAAGGCGAGGCCGAAAGGCGUAGUCGAUGGGAAACAGGUUAAUAUUCCUGUACUUGGUGUUACUGCGAAGGGGGGACGGAGAAGGCUAUGUUGGCCGGGCGACGGUUGUCCCGGUUUAAGCGUGUAGGCUGGUUUUCCAGGCAAAUCCGGAAAAUCAAGGCUGAGGCGUGAUGACGAGGCACUACGGUGCUGAAGCAACAAAUGCCCUGCUUCCAGGAAAAGCCUCUAAGCAUCAGGUAACAUCAAAUCGUACCCCAAACCGACACAGGUGGUCAGGUAGAGAAUACCAAGGCGCUUGAGAGAACUCGGGUGAAGGAACUAGGCAAAAUGGUGCCGUAACUUCGGGAGAAGGC
rnacentral:rRNA from 1 species